UACAGAGGGUGCAAGCGUUAAUCGGAUUUACUGGGCGUAAAGCGUGCGUAGGCGGUUUGCUAAGUCGGUUGUGAAAUCCCUGGGCUCAACCUGGGAACUGCAGUCGAUACUGGCGGACUAGAGUACGGUAGAGGGUGGCGGAACUCCGGGUGUAGCGGUGAAAUGCGCAGAUAUCAGGAGGAACACCAAUUGCGAAGGCAGCUCGCUGGGACGUUACUGACGCUGAGACGCGAAAGCGUGGGGAGCAAACAGG
rnacentral:rRNA from 1 species